UACGAAGGGUGCAAGCGUUACUCGGAAUUACUGGGCGUAAAGCGUGCGUAGGUGGUUCGUUAAGUCUGAUGUGAAAGCCCUGGGCUCAACCUGGGAAUUGCAUUGGAUACUGGCAGGCUAGAGUGCGGUAGAGGAUGGCGGAAUUCCCGGUGUAGCGGUGAAAUGCGCAGAUAUCAGGAGGAACACCUGUGGCGAAAGCGGCUCACUGGACCACAACUGACGCUGAUGCGCGAAAGCUAGGGGAGCAAACAGG
rnacentral:rRNA from 1 species